GAAAUAUUCAAGCUCCUUACACAGAAGUGCUUCUAACCCCACAGAAUGUGAUACACAGACAAAAUAUGGGCAAAAAGAGUACAAGAUACACCUCGCGUGGGCAGUGGGGGAUCCACCCACAAACCUCACUUGUAGGUCCUGCCCUUUGGAGCUGGAGCUUCCUUCUAGCCAAAGGAAAGAGUAAAAAUGUGGGAUAGGAUUCACUGGUGUCUGAGGAGUUGUUUCAGUGGGGUGUCUGGGUGAAUGUCCUAAGUGAGUGACCCUGCAGGGCCAGGCCUCUGACAACUGAUGCUUUCACAUUCCCUCACCUGAGGCAUAUGCACAGACUCCUGGCCAGGCCGUGGGCUCCGGCUUCUGCUCAAUUCUCUUUCUCCUACAUCUUUGGAAGAGGUUAGUUUUCACCUGUCUGUCUGCCACCACUGAAAUCAGGCCAAGUAGGGAGCACGCCAGAGCUCAGGUGAAGUCUGUGGUGGUGAGUGGUGCCUGCUGAGCCUUCCUUGCUCCAUGACAGCCCUACUUCUAUUGUCCCCUUGGCCAACUGUCCCUGUUUGUCAUGGGGAGGGUUGUCAUAAUGAGGGGUGGGAGACAGAAAGCAAAAAAGCUAAAUUUUGGAGAUUAUGGAAUACUGUAAGAGGAAGAUCGCAUUUCUGUCUUUAAAAAUUUUUCGGCCAAACAUGCCUCUUUGGGUAAGUCAGUGGACCCCCAGUCUGUCCCAUGGUGCUGGUAAGAUAGAGGCCCAGUGGGCUUGGUGGACCUGAGCUGAGCAGAUGUUUGGCCCCUGGGGGUCCAAGGGCCUUGUGGUAUCUUGAUGUCAACCAGUGUCCAAGGAGUAAAAUUUGAUCACUUGGUCUAUGGGUCCCCUGAUAAGGCUACUCUAACACACUGUAAGAGAGAUGAACCUGCUUUCUGGGAUGAGCCUUAGGCUGAAGGAUCCACAGAGCCCCAAACAACAACAACACGUUCCAGCUCAGCAGCGCUUUGCUGACAGUGGGCUUGGGCUCCAGAGUGAGAAGGUCUCCUUUGCAGAACAAGCAGUUUCUGUCUGAGAGGUCCCCACACUGGCAGGUUGGAAUGCGGAAAGUGGU
rnacentral:lncRNA from 1 species